rnacentral:misc_RNA from 1 species
AAUGAUAAGACAACUGAGUGACUUCAUUCCAGGAGUGCACUAAUAAAUAAAUGAUAGGAACUGAACAAAAUGCAUUGAAUGAGCAUUCUUUAAUGAUGCGCUUCAAUAAAUUAUUUGCAAAUGGCAUCAAAAUUUGACUCAUUCUUUUCAGAAACAUGCUAUUUUUUUGCUUGCUCUACAUGCUGCUGGUUCUCUUUCUCUCACUCAAAAUGCAAAUUGAAGACUUUAAACAUUGAUAUGUAUUUCAAUUGUAGAAUACUUA